CAGUCGAGCGGUAACAGAGAGUAGCUUGCUACUUUGCUGACGAGCGGCGGACGGGUGAGUAAUGCUUGGGGAUCUGCCCGGUCGAGGGGGAUAACCGUUGGAAACGACGGCUAAUACCGCAUACGCCCUACGGGGGAAAGCAGGGGACCUUCGGGCCUUGCGCGAUUGGAUGAACCCAAGUGAGAUUAGCUUGUUGGUGAGGUAACGGCUCACCAAGGCGACGAUCUCUAGCUGGUCUGAGAGGAUGACCAGUCACACUGGGACUGAGACACGGCCCAGACUCCUACGGGAGGCAGCAGUGGGGAAUAUUGCACAAUGGGGGAAACCCUGAUGCAGCCAUGCCGCGUGUGUGAAGAAGGCCUUCGGGUUGUAAAGCACUUUCAGUGGUGAGGAAAGGAGGUUGGCUAAUACCUGACCUCUGUGACGUUAACCACAGAAGAAGCACCGGCUAACUCCGU
rnacentral:rRNA from 1 species